AAUAAUACCAUAAUUCCUUUCAGGAAUAAUGGAAUACGUACACCAGUGACCUAGUGCCGUAAUGGCGGCGAGCAAAACGACAUCUUCGAUAGCGCAGCUGCGUUAUUUCAUGCAUGUUAUUAACGUUCCAGCUCUAUCCUCUUUCAACGCGAAUUCUUUUCACUUUGUCGCGCUAGCAUAAAUUUAUUCCUUCGUCUUGAAAUAUCGUUUAUUGCAGGCAGCCGCUUCUCAGAAUCGAAGAAUCGAAAACUUUUGCAUAGUUUCACGUCAUUGACGCUUCCGAGCGAGAAUGUUAAUGCGUGGCUUCAGCUGGUCCCAGUGCAAUUCCAAGACUCGUUUCGUCUCGAUUCCAAGAAACGUGGGCAGCGCGAUAUUUAAUCGUCGAUUUCCUCGUGUCGCAUUUUUCUAUGGUGUUUAGCGAUAUAACGUCGCCACUCCUAACAGUCGUCGCUAUAAAGCUAUCAUCAAGAUAAUGAGUGAAAUUUCACGAAUAAACGCAACCACGUGUCACAUUGUUGCUGAACGUUCGGUAGAAAGUGGUUUUACAACGAACGAGAUUCUGUUGCGCGCGAAUUAUCGAAAUGUGUAAAGACGUUGAAGUGUAAAUGAAACUGAAGAUGAAAAGGUUGUUCGUGAGAGACGAGAACGAGAUUAUCAAAAUCUCUCGAGAGAAAGUAACCGAACGGAACUGGAAUAAGACGAUCUUUACGACGUUUCGACUACCAGACACGUAUUUACGAACAAAUAUUGAACCGAAAGCCACCCUUCGAGGAAUAACAGAGAUUCGCAAGAAGUCGCGUGGCUUAUCGUUGCGAAAGGUGUUGGCCAUUUAAAUGGCGGCUAAGGCUUGCUGGCAAUUUCUCCGCAAUAAAUACGCACGUGACAUUCUACGCAGUAGCUUCUGUCGUGCUUAACCCAGAAUCGCUCGAUUAUAUGCGCAGCAAGUAUUACGGGGCAAGUUCGUUGUCCUCUCUUUCGUGUUGCUGCCCUCUCGUUCGUUAUAUUAGCGUUAUCCCACGCCGCUUUGUUUUCAGUUUAUCUUGGGGAUGCAGUAGCGAAGUAGCGAUGGCGUUGAUUCUUGCCCGAUCCUCGAUCAAUCCAGGACGCCGAAUCGCGUACGUUUAACCGACAACGAGACGACCUUUCAUCGACCACUCGUUGUUGCAAGAAUCGGACAAAGUCGCCAGAUGCUUUCGAAAGGAUUAAAUGACUUACCGACUAAAUGGAAACUCUGAAAAUCUUGAUGAGCACCACUGUGUGAUCUUUAGUCAGCCGUAUUUUUCUCUAUUGUACAUGGUACGACAGAACACGUGGCACCGUGUCAGCAGCUGACCUAAAAACAAUGGAGAAGAAAGGAUUCUUUUUUUUAUUCAAUUUGUACUUUACAAUUUAUCCAGUUGGACAUGUGGUAAAUUUUUCUAACUUUAUCGUAUAAACGUAUGCUCUGUCUGUGGUCGUUGGUGCGAGAUAUAACGAACGUUGUUAAAUGCAACGUCUAUGGAAAAUGUUGAAACGUUCCGAGGUUCGGAAUAGAACAGGCUUUGCAACAAAUUCAGGAAAUACCAGCGACUAUUCAGAGUGUAACCGGAUCCAUGAUAACAAGUCUGCAGACUUGCCUUGAAAUUCCACAUCAUUUAAUAAUAGAGAAUAACAUCAUUAAAUAAAAUAGACAAACUCGAAGAUGGUAUCCUGCUGAGGGUAGCCAUCCACAUGUUAUUUAGCAAUUAAGCUAGAAAAAUUUAACGAAUGUCCAGCUGGACAAAUUCUAAAGUACAAGUUCAAUAAUAAUAAAAAAAAAGACAAAUUUUGAACAUUUUCUAGUAGGUAAUUAAUUAAAAAAGUAGGUAAUUUAGUAGGCAAGGUCAAAACAGAAAAUAAGUUCUAUCUCAUACACGAAGACAGCCGCAACGUGUAUGUCUAUAUGAACCUUUUUCCUUGUUUUUAAAUGUACAAACAUCCCAUGUGUUCUGUUACAUCCUGUAGUUUACUCAGGAUGGUUAGCUUAAUACUAUCAUCUCGCGUUAAAUGUACAUCGAUGUUACAAUUCUGCAAAAGACGUUUGAAAUUGAAAUUGAAAGUCGAAUCGGAUUUAAAGAUAACAGCGUUCUUGUAUGAAAAUUUCAUGUCGAUUUAAAACUCUAAUUUGAAAUUAGUAUGCGAAAACAGCAAUUGGCAGAUUUAAAAGCAGUCACGAGGGUACCGGCGCCAUCGCUAGGGAAAAGCAAGCACACAACCACCUUGUGUCACUCGUCUGUCUUCCCUUUCUGCCCGGGUAUCUGGCACUGUUCUUCUUGUUUCUGUUGCCCUCUCGCGCGCCUCCCUCUCGCGUUUCUCUUUUUUUCUCUUUCCGACCUGCCUUUUUGCUCCCUUUCCCUUCACGUCCGCUGCGGGAGUCGUGCUUAAUUCGAGCCACUCCCGCUGUUUAUUUGCACGUUUUAACUGCAAAGUCCUCCAUUGCUGCGCACAAUGCUGCGAACGACCCUCGAACGCUGUGUAUACUCGUUCUCUUAUCCGACGAUCAGCUCGUUCCGUCGGAACAUUCGACUCACCUCGAAAGUUUCCAGUCGAAACGCAGUUCGAUCGUUCCGAUCUGACGUUCCUGAUCGCGAAUGAAGUCGUUCGGAGAACUGGAGAGAAACGGAGUUCCCAUCGGGGAUGAAAGAUGUUUCCGAUACGUUGUAUUGCGGUGCAUUGUUUCGAGUUAGGGAGGAAUAUCUUUAUCUUUUUUUUAUUAUUUAAUUUGUACUUUACAAUUUGUCCAGCUGGACAUUUGGUAAAUUUUUCUAAGCUAAUAUUCGUUUAUUGUACUCGAAAUGAAACCAAAUUGCUUUAUUUAAUUAUGAAUACGUUUGCCGAUUUUUUGUCAUAUUUAUUUCAUCGUUAUUUUAUUAUUCGAUUGUGUCACGGCCUUCUUGCACAAUUCUGCGUUGUUAUAUUCAUUGUUGGGAAAGAAAUCCGUUUCGAAAGUAUGAAAACACAUGCAUCGAAGUAAUUAUUCUAAUUUUUGUACUCAUCCAGCGUCCUAAUUUUACAACUCGUAUAUUUCCGAAUUAUUAUUACGUCAAUUAAGAAUAAAUAUCUUCUCCAUCUUUAUCUUAAUCUUUAUUACUCUAUCGGUAUCUCCGUGUUAUUUUAUCUUAUUCGAAGUAGCGUAAAUUUCCUAUAAACGCGGCAAACGUAAUAGCAGUACGUAACACGAUCCUCGUAGGGAGAUUUUUCUAGCGACCAAGAACGGUAAAAGCAAAGUAGUAGAGUUUUUUGAAAGGAAGGAAAACGCAAGAAACUUAUCGCGCCGGCCAAGGCGAUAAAUGGCCGCUUCGAUAACGUGGAAUACCAGCGGUCGUUUAACACAGAAGCCAGCACUUUCCUAGAAAAUCCCCGACCGAUAGCGGUAGUUUCUUGAACUGUGGGAUUUCGUGUAACAACCAUUUCUACGUGGUAAAGGGAUUACGUGAGACCACCCAUGGGAACGCGUAUGGAAGGGAUUUCCAUGGCUCCUCGUUUUACACGCCGCAUAACUCAACUACUCUUCAAAAAUGCGUAUAAACGUCUCCACGUUUUUAUCUUGAUCGUUAAAAAUUAAUAAUCGCGUGAGGAUAAGAGUCAAAGAGAAUCUACAAAUACCUUCGAUGGCGUGAAAAAUUCAUCUCUCUUGUUAUUAAUUGCAUACCAUUCUUACGGCGUUUUGCGUUUUUUAUUCCAUCGAUUUAGACUCGUUCCUCUUUUUUCUUUUUUUUUUUUAAUUAUUUCAAACGGAGAAUUCUACCAAAACGAGUUUGAAACAGUAAGUCGUUGAAUGAGUUUCAAGUUAAGGAGAUGCAAAAGAAAGAUCGACAUUAGGUAGUUGCUUACGUUUGAUAAGGAAAUAACAGACGCGUAACAUCUUUCGUUUUAUAUUUAUUUUACCGAAUAACGUACGAUCUAUUUCGUUCUAUUACUACAAAAUGCAUCAUGCAUAAUUCAAUAAAAUACUAUAAAUCUUCCAGCGUUGGAAUAGAAGAAUAUUUUUCCUUCACUUCUUGCCCUAACUAAGAUCAAAUGCUCUGUUAAAUGUAAACUGAAACAGGGAAUACGUGUACCUUCGUCACUGAAAAAUUUCAUGUACAUUUGUAACGAAUAAUUUGCAUUUCAUAAGAUAGAUUUGUAUAAAUUUUUGGAAUGUAGCUAGAAGCGCAUACUUCGAUCGCUGUAAGAUCCGAGCGUUAAACGGACAUACUAAAAGUCUGUGAAAUCACACGUUCCUGUAGACUAAUCUUCAUUCACCUGCAAUUAUUAUCAAUCUCGUUUAUAUCGAUCAACGCUAUACCAACUUCAUCAAUACGUAGUUUCCUAAGAUAAAGUCAGACGCUAGAUUAGAUUAAAUACUUCCAUUUAGGCUACAAUACGUUUUCUACAUUUUCAAUAAUAAUCAGCGUGUGUUCGGAUAUCUAACGUACAGUAGCGUAGCUUUGAAGCACAUCAAACGCUCCGACAAAUAUUUCAAUUUCUCCUGUGAGUUCUCAACCAAAGCUCGAUAGAACAAAAUAUUACAGCUACGUGACAACGUUGGGGUUCGCGAAAGAACGAAACAGAUGGGAAGAGAAGAGAAGAAAAGAGAAGAGAAGAGAAGAGAAGAGAACACGCUGAUUCUAGCACGUGUGCACGCGCGUCGCAGUGGCACGUUUGUCAGUUCGGAAUUACCCAAUGUAUUUUCCACGCUGGCUCGACUGUCGCCUCUCGGUUUCGGGCAUUGUGCGCGUUUGACCUAGCCAUCGAGCCACGUGCUCCGCCUCUUCCGUCUCCUCUGCCUCCCUCGAUUCUCCUUCCCUGCCUUUAACCCGUCCGCCUCACGCCCCCGCGAUUCUCUUAUCUUUUCCCCGAGAUUAGCUCGCUGCGCAGUUUGCACGUCGAUGCACCGUGUUGUGCUGGCGCGAGCAACAGGGAACAAAGGACACAACGUGGAAAACGCCUUCUUCUUCGUACCCUUCCUCGUCUUAUUCUUUGUCUCGCCUCUCUUCCAUCAACUCUCGCGAAGUAUUCCGACGAGGGGUUGUGCUUUUCGACGAUGCUCCGCGACGAAUUUAAUUAAUAUUUCUACGUGUUGCUUUUUUCUUCUUGGAAACGCUCGACGUUCGUCAAAUUGUGUUUGAGUUGGUGGGUGGAGCGUGUUUGCUAAGGUCUGUUUGCUUUAGUCUUGUUGUCUAGCGGAUUAAGGAUCCACUAAAUUGUCGACUUUGUAACUAUGUGACGAUCUAGAAACGUACUUAUUUGGGAUAUCCGAUUGGUGAGUUGGUUUACAAGGUCUCCGGAUGAUCGAUUAUCGUCGCUAUACAGCGUCGCGUUGGCUAGUAAGGUUUAGCACUACGAAGAAGAAGAAGCGUUUCUGUCGUCUGUAAAACUUUGUUUCGACACCGAUGGAACGAGCGUCGCAUCUGUAUGCGAAGUUUAAGCGUAAGACAGAUCGCUGUUUGGCAUCGAUAGCGGUGCAACUUAAAAAAAUGUACAUUUUCGAGAAGGAGAGGCUUCUCAAAAAUUGACAAAGAGAUGUUGGCGUCUGGUUUCAACGGUUUCGAGCGUAAGGCUGACUUAACGCAGAAUACGACACUGUUCGCGAAAGCGGUACGAUGUUUCGCUUGUAGCGUGACAAAACAACGGAAGAUGAGCCAGUGUUGCGAAACUAACGCGAAAUUGAUAGCGGCGUAAAUACGUAAUCAGUUUGCCGUCUGACGCGAAACUCAUGGAAUUAUAAAUAUACCGUUUCACGCGAUAAAAAUAGGAACAUAACGUAGGUCUUCUGCUCGAUAAAAGCAAAUUUCAAAUGUUUUAGACUAUAUAGCGAUGCCACUGUCGCUGCCAAGCGUGCAGCCAUAUUCUCUCGUCGAAGGUUUCGUAUUACGAAAAGUUGUAAAAUCCGAUAAAAUUACUUCCCGAUCAGCGUUUUGAAAUAAACGAAUCUUCUUCGCCGAUACGAAGAUGCGGCCGUGUCUUCUUCGUCGGCGCACAGCUCAACCUUUCUUUUUCUUCCUCGUGGACGAGGCGACGUGCGCGAAACGAUAUACGUGGAAAGCAGCCAGACACGAAGGUAGAACGUGACUUGGGUAUAAUAUCGUUCCCUUUCUCGACUUUGUUCGAUACCCCGAGUGCUCGACCACUUGGUUUCCUCCGGGUCUGACGGACGUCUGAUGUUCAAGGCCGAAGAAAACGUGCCGCAUGGCGAUCCGGAAUCGAACGGCGAAUUCUAGUAGACCGUUCUCUGAAUGGCGAUACGCGAUCAAGGUUGCACGAUGGCUCCUGCCGGUCUCCGAGAAACGAUCCAGAUAUCUAACGGCUUUCCAUAGCGUGACGUGGUCGCGAUCAAGGUUCAAGAACCGAUUAUCUCGCGGUUUGAUAUUCCACGUGUCGUGAUUCAGCAGGUUUUUAAUAAUAAUUAAUAAUAAUUCUUACAUAUAUAUUUAUAUAUAUUCGUACAGGCCGAAUGGAUACGCGAAGUACCGUUCAAGGUAACUGUAGUAGCGAUUUUAGUUUCUAUUUUGUAUUUUCUGAGGUAUCAAGGUCACUUGGAGUUUUUUAAACGGCACAGUAUAUUUUUGGUAACACAGAGUAUAUUUUAGUCGAUCCAGCUGUGGACAUUCUGUGAAAAAAAUAUUAAUCUGUUUAUACAGAAAUGUCAUUAAUUUAGAGUUAUUAGGAUAAUUUAAUUUAAUAAUUCGUCGAAUUUAACUCACGAAAGAUAAGGAGAGACGCGAGACGGUAUUCUUGCGUUUGCGUUGUCUUUGACCUCCAUACGUUCAAUUUGACAGGCUAAGAUUAAAAUCAUCAGCUAAAUUAAUGGCUUCUCGGUAUAAAUAGGUUAAUACUUUUUUUGUAGAGAAUGUCCAGUAGCAUCGACUGAUCUUAUGAAAGAUACACCGCGCCAUUUAGUAUAUUCAAUGUCACCUUGGUACGUCAGAAAAGUAAGAUAUUAGAAGCUAAAAUUGCGUUCGUCCGAUAAGCCGCAGCGAAAUGCAACGUAAUUCAUUUAACACGUUUUUUUUAAAUAAAUUCAAUAGAUAACCAGCCAUUUUAGAUAGUACGUCUUAUUGACUCACCUUGUAUACAUUAUGUCGAAUCAACCGGAAAGCCCUGUCACGUUUUUCUUAUCUUAUUUCAUUCUCGUUUUUGAGGAAGAAAUUAAUCGAGGAUUAAAGAGGAAGAAAAUGAGAAAUUGCGUGUUUCAUUUUUUACGGAAUUUUCACGUUUGACGUUUCGCGGGCGAAUAGAUUUUCGUACUCUUCGUAACAAAGCUGUAUCGUUCGCGUACACGUGUCUAUUCUUUUUGUUUUUUUCUUUAAAACUUUUCGAGAUCUUUAAAAAUUCUGAAAAACAUUCCAAGAUGCUUAUCGAAGUCUUUAGCACGUUUUACGUACAAUCAGUAUAUCGAAAUUGCACAGAAUUUAGUUUAAAAUAUCUUAAAACAGUGCUUCUCGAACGAUCUCUAUGUUUUGUAAUUUUUCACCUUGAGGUUGCACACUUUCAACACGAAUCUUUAUUUUCACGUUCGUAUAAUGUUCAAACAAACGGUCCAAGCCGUGUCUCCUAACCUUGUCCUCCUUUCUUAAAUCCUCGCUCUCCAAAAAAUCUCGUCCUUCUCUAAACAAACUCUUGCAAAACCCCGAGCCCAUCAUCCUCCGCUUCCUCCAGCUCGCAGCAAAAAGCAGAUCCACCGGUUGUCACUUACGUAACUCGGAUCCAGGUCCGCACAAUACGUCACUCCGCAACAACCCUCUCGCUUAUCGAAAUCGUUACGUUUCGUCGUUUUUCCUCUUUUUCACAGCUCCUUCGCGAGAAUUUAUUUCAAGAUAAUUCGUUAAAGAAUACGAGAACCAGGAACUUUGUAUUCAACAUAGUACUGUUCUUCGAGAAAUUUCCUACAUAUCGAAACAAUUAUGUAUGACGUUUCGUGUUUUUUCUUCUCAGUUUUUCAACGACGAUUUAUUUACGUGCACAUAUUUUUUCCUGUUAAAGUUUCUUGCGAUCGAUCAGGCAUUGGCAAUUACAGGCAAGUUUGACGACCUUGUUUAACGACUUCAAUGCAAUUUAACAUUUACAUAUUCGUUGAUUAAAAUCGAUCGAGGAUUUUACGCGAAUCAGGAAGCUUAGAGUCAACGUAACGCUACUGUUCCAGACAUUUCCCAGUUAUCGUAAUACCAAACGAUGUUUCGUGCUUUUCCCAUCUCGGUUUUUCAGUGAGAAUCUCUAUAUUCUUUCGAUUAAGAUCACGCGGACCAGGAAUUUUAGAUUCCACGUAUUUUCUUCGAGAGAUUCUCCAAUUGUAGAAAUAAUUACGAUGUUCCGCGUUUUUUCUCUCCUCGGUUCUUCAACAAGGUUUUAUAUAUUCUUCGAUUAAGAUCACGCGGAUCAGGAACUCUGCAUUCAAUUUAUUCUUACAGAGAAUUCCCAGUUAUCGAAUUAAUUACGGUGUUUCGUGUUUUUCCCUCGCUCAGUUUUUCAACGAGAAUUUAUGUAUUCCCUGAUUAAGAUUACGUGAACUAGCAACUCUUUGUUUUACAGCCAGGGACAAAAAUAAACGGACAGAUAGUGAAAGUAAUAUCAGUGAAGAUUAAUUGAUCUAAUACCAGUUUUAUAUACUCAAGUUUUAUCUAUUAUGCGAAAUACGUGGCACUCGGUUUCUGUUGCUGAUUGCACCGAAUGAUAUCUAAUGAAAUGACACGCAAAACCAAUGAAAAGAUUCCUUCUAUUCGCCUUCGAUUAUCAGAUAUAACGAAUUUUCUGUCUUGAUUUCCUCACAUUUAUUAAGUCGUUCGAAAUGUUUCUUUCGUUUUAGACGGAAAUAAUAGACGCAAAAUGUUUUUCGUUUUGUAUUAUCGAAUUAUGUACAAACGCAAUGACAGAAAUAGAAGGAAAUGGAUCGUAUUUAACUCAAUAAAAUAAUAUAAAACAGAAAUUGUCGUUCGUCUGUUAUCGCCUUAUCGAACGAAAGAAACUUUUCGGACAAACCUAAUAAUUACCUUCUAGAAAAUUUUCCAAACGAUCUGGAAUUUCAAGGCGAGUCCGUAGACGCGUUAUCGUGGCUUCACUUCACUUACGCUUUCGAUAGUUUCCGGUGUUUGCCGAAUUUGUUGAAAAACUCGUUCUAUUCCGAACCCCGGUAUUUCAACAUCUUCAAUAUGCAACGUUUACAACGUUCGUUGUAUCUCAUAAACGAAGACUUGCACCAACUUCUUUCGUUAUAUUUUCGUCAUAUUUUACCGAUUACUAAAAUAAUUAUUACAAGUAAUUCAUUAAUAUUAUUACAAGUCGUAUUUCCACCACCUAUCCCAUUUAUUUUCGUAAUACAAAUCUAAUUAAUUCAGUUGGAAGAACGUGGAUCGGUAAAGUUUCCGGGUUAAUUCCACGAAAGGUUUCUCCACGAGGCGUCGCAAGAACUCGCGUACCAGAUCCACGUGGAGGCUGAACCGGAAAGUAUUCGGUAUUCUUUCGUCCCUUCGUUCUUGCGCCGAUAGUUAGCCUCGCGGAAGGAUCCAGAAUACGUUGAGCGCUUGUGUGAGGCAUUAUAUGUAUAUGUAACGGGCGACUUCUCGGGGUCAAAUAGCUGCCUCGUCGAGCUUCGACAGCCUCCUCUAGACCGCCUCCGACUUCUUCUUUACUCGGUUCUGGGUGUGUCGCUAAUCAGACCGAAACCUCUCGUCCCCAAAGAGGAUGUUGAGAACGUUCGCAGUCGUUGGACGAUGUUUGGCGUCGAGGUUCUAUCGACGGCGAUUAGAGGAUUAGACGCCACGUAUUUCGAUAGCUUGAGAUUAAACGAGAGAACUUGACAAUUUUAUUUACCCAGACUUCUCUAUUUCCGAGAUCUUCUGCGUAUAGUUUAGAGGUUCGGAGGCUCUCUUCCUUUAUUUAUUUUGUGGAUUUAUUAGUUGGAAAUUUUUGUUAUUAUCAGUUAGAGGCUUUUGCUUUUUUUUUUUUUUUUGUCGAGUUGGAUACGUUUCUAGGUUUAAAUAAAACGAUAUACACGUCGUAAGGCGAAUAUAAAAUGGCAAGCGAAAGACCGAGUCGAGCCAAUGUCUGCACAGGGUCCAGGAUCGUAAAGUUUGCAAGGAUAUCGCGGGUGCCGCUUUAUUUUCGUCGCCCCGAAAGCCAGCGCCGUUUUCGUGGAAGGAGAACCGGUCGUUUCGAAAUCUGCUCGCGGUGUAACCGGCGGCCGGAUAAAGAAACUGGUCCAGCGGACGUAGAGAGGAGCCGGUGGUGUUUGGCCAUGGGCCAAGUUUCGCGAGGCCCACGGAUUCGUCGCGAGCAAACUCUAACUUCGUAGCUCGUUACUUUCCUCCGUUCAGUAAUUCGUCGAUUAAUCGUUUCACGAUAGUCUCGUGACACAGUGCUGAUGAACUUUCAAAAUCUUUCGUAUAUAAUGCUACGCGCGAUACAUCGUUACAAAUUAUUAUAAUUCCUCCACGUGACGUAUAUAUACGUUCUUUGUACGACGUACGACGUAACGAUUGAUACUUGUAAGACGUAAUUCUUUUCUAUAGAGUCGUGUGAGAGCGUGAAUUAGAUGUAAAGAGGAAGCAAUAAACUAUACGUACCGCCACUUCUAUUGCUAUUAUUGUAAAUUGAUACGUAUCGUAUUUUAUUGGUAGUUGUAUUAGUAUAAAAAAAGUACGGAUAUUCAUAAAACACGUGUACAAGUGUUGGAAUAGUUUGGUAAACUCAUGUAAGUAGUUCUGGAAACAAUAAUUCAAGCGACACGCUACAUGAAUCUAUUUUUUCCUGGUGUUUGCGAAUCGGUUGCGUCGUGUCGUCGUAAAAAAUUUACGAGUAUCGAAGCUGGUGCGUGCCCCUUCGAGAAGAGAACGUCUUUCUCGCCGGUUCUCUCUCGUUUUCCACGGACUGUUCGUCGACCAGUCGUUAAUCUUAACAAGCGUAGAUCCGAAGAGGCGGUGCCGGCCGUCGUCGGAUCUCGAUCAUCCGAAUAUCGCUUGCUCGAAUUGCCCAAUUACUCGGAUAAAAUAUGUUUGCGUAAUUGUCGGCGCGGUAAUUUCAAGGGUUGUAAAAUUCGCAUCCGUUUCACUUUGAUGAAAAGGCCACGGACGAUUUAGAUAUUUUGAAUCGUUGGAGAAUAAAAGCGCGUGAAGUAAAAACGCGUGUAAUAAGUCGCAAAUGAGAGAGUGAAAGAUAGAAGGAUACUUUAUUUUUAUUUCUUUCUCUGUACAAAUAUUCGAUAUCGCGUAGCGAGGCUACAAACGUUUCGUACGUUCUUACUUUCACGGUGACCUAAUUGAACUCGCCAAGUUUUAACGAUCGCGUCCGACGUCGUACAAAUGUAUUUAAGUAAAAGAUUGUCAAUGGAGGAAAUGUAAAUUUCCAGCACUGACAACAAGACGAUUUCAAUAUCGCUAUCAAGGCUCGUUAUUUAUUUGGGUUGCGGAAGAAUAAACGGUGAAAGCGGUUCCGUGAAAACAUAUCGACGCGUGGGUGGCGACAAUAAAACACUCGUUCUCAUAAUUUCGUGUAACGCCAUAAGUGUUACGAGAAUUGGAAAUGGCUCGCGAACGAUGAAAAAUUAUUCACGUAAAUGGAUCCACGGUGAGAACCGAACGAGGAAAAUGAAAAUAAAAGGGAAGGAAAAAAAAAUGGAAACAAAAUGGGGAAUCGUAGAAACGAAAUGAGAAUAACUGACGUAAUAUGACGCAACAACGGUCGCUAAAGAACAUCUGGCCGUGUUUUUUUGUAGAAACUUUUUAUACGUAAUCGUAGAUAGUUGGGGAGGAAAAAACUGAUUAUUUUAGCUUAGUUCGUAUCCGGCAAUUAGUCCGAAUAAUCGAGGUUUCGCUCGAGUCGUUGGAUAAAAAAACAAAGAAGAUUCAUUUCGCUCGUGAAACUCGAUUAUUAAGAGUAAUUGCGCCGACGUAUUUCUAUGGAAGAAAAUUAUCAUGUCGGUAAACGCGAUUGCGCAACCGGAAGCCUUUUUUUAGAAUACUCCUCGCGGCUGUCGCUGUCACGGCUCUCGUAUGUAACACCUUUAAUAAUUUAUGAUUUAUAUCUAACUUUUGAGUUGCCGCUCUUACUCGUUAAGUUUUAUAGUAAAAUCGAUAUAAAAUAUAUUUUAUAUCAUUCGUUGAUAUCAAGCAACUUGAAUUAAAAUUACAAAAUUUCUAAAUUCUACUGGCUCAUUGGCAGACGUUCCAACAUAAGCGUGCAGAGUAAAAUAAUGCUACAUAAAACCAUAUUAAAACCUGUCUGCACCUAUGGGAUCCAACUAUGGGGAACAGCGAGUGAUUGCAAUAUAGAAAUUCUUUAACGAUUCCAAUUAAAAAUUGUAAGAUCCUUAGAAGAUGCACCUUCGUAUGUUACCAACGAAACAAUACGUCGCGAUCUUGAGAUACCCACAGUUGAAGAAGAAAUAUCCAAAUUCAGUAACAGAUAUAACAUAAGAAUUAACAAUUACCAAAACCUAUUAGUUACUCGAUUAAUUGACACGAUGGAUAAGAUCCGAAGGCUCAGAUUUAAACGUUAGAUUCAGCUAGAACCAAACAUACGAUAAUAAUUUAUUAUUCACGUUACAGUACCACGCCAGAAUAAUUUACUUAUAAUGCUCAAUGAGAAUUGAUUGUAAAAUUCUUCCAGAUAAACAAAAAAUAUAUAAAGCCACAUUAAAGCCUGUUUGGAUCUAUGGGAUCCAACUAUGGGGAACAGCGGGUAAUUCCAACAUAGGAAUUCUUCAACGAUUCCAAUCAAAAAUUUUAAGAUCCUUAGAAGAUGCACCUUCGUAUGUUACCAACGAAACAAUACAUCGCGACCUCGAGAUGCGCAUAGUUAAAGAAGAAAUAUCCAAAUUCAGUAACAGAUAUAACAUAAGAAUUAACAAUCACCAAAACCCAUUAGUUACUCGAUUAAUUGACACGAUGGAUAAGAUCCGAAGGCUCAGAUUUAAACGUUAGAUUCAGCUAGAACCAAACAUACGAUAAUAAUUUAUUAUUCACGUUAUAGUACCACGCCAGAAUAAUUUACUUGUAAUUCUCAAUGAGAAUUGAUUGUAAACUACUUCCAAAUAAAAAAGAAAAAUUCGUUGACGUCGCUUAUAAUUUGUAUUCUACGCGUAACUUAAUUUGCAUAGUGAGAUCUAACAACGCUUUAUUCUCCGGUGGGUGACAUUCUCAAAUAAUUCGGGUUCUCCAAGGCAGCAAGUUUCGUAAUCGCGCGACAAACAGUUCCCUUGGUCGCGAAACUCGUGUGCGAAGAUUUUCACCAGUCGUCUCCACGUCGCUCAACAAACGAUCUUCCGCCGAGAGAGAAAAAGAGAAGUGAGAAAGCAACUGCGAAUGAAUUACGACGAUUGCACAAUCGUCGACGUUAUCGAGGGUCUUUACGCGUGAAAAUUUAUUCGCCGCGGCGGCCAAUUAAACUUAACGACCGAAAUUCCUGCCCAGAAUCGGACGAAACCUUUCCUUUCCACUGUGAUCUUGCGACGUAGAAUCUUUCACGAACCGCGUGUUUUCUGCGCUUCAACUUUGAUCGGUUUUCAUUAAUUUUUUAAAUUCAACGAAACGAACGACGAUAACAAAGUUAGGGUCAAAGCGACGUGAAAAUUGAUUAAAUUGAUUUGUAUCAAUUGGAUACAAGAUUGGGUUAAGUAGAAACUAGUUUGAUGCAUAAAUUGUUGUAAAUGCGAAAGUACGGAGACAAAGAUCGAGUGCAAAGAAUUGUAUGUCGAAUCUACUUCUACCUAUGGGAUCCAACUAUGGGGAACAGCUAGUAAUUCCAACAUAGAAAUUCUUCAACGAUUCCAACCAAAAGCUCUAAGAUCCUUGAUAGACGCACCUUGGUAUGUUACCAACGAAACGAUACAUCGCGACCUUGAGAUACCUACAGUUAAAGAAGAAAUAUCCAAAUUCAGUAACAGAUAUAACAUAAAAAUUAACAAUCACCAAAGCCCACUAGCUACUCGAUUACUUGACACGACGGAUCAGAUCCGCAGGCUAAAAAGACAUUAGAUUUAAACAUCUGUAGCGACACUCGACAGCAACUUUCCAACGGUUUCUGUCCCAUGGUUUGCUACGCAAAGACCCUAUCCUAGACCGGACGACGGCAGAGCAGUGGUUCAAAUCCCAGCACUCGUAGUCCGAUUUUCUCUCCACGAUUCCUAGAUGAGAAGAAGCCAACCCGGAUGAAGAUAAGAAUCAUAUACAGCAGCAGCACUAUCACCGACCUUAUCCACCUCACAUUAGAUUCAGCUAGAAUCGAACAUACGACGAUCAUUUAUUAUUCACGUUAUAGUACCACGCCAGAAUAAUUAUAAUUCUCAGUGAGAAUUGAUUGUAAACUAUUUCCAAAUAAAAAAAAAUCUACUUCUAUUCCGAAGAGACCGUAAUAAAUAAAUAAAUAAUUAUUCUUAUUGAUAAGAUUAAUGGAAACGAGGAGAAUCAAGGUGAUAUCGUGCUUUAGAAAUUACCAUUAGUUACUAUAAAAUACAAUGUGCUUUCGUUUCAUUUAUCUCGAAUUGCUUAAAAAAAAUUCGAAUAGGAUACUGUGUCAGGACAAUUGGUUGGUCCAGGAAAUGAAAGAUUCUUCUUCCCUUCUUCCUUCGCAAGCUGUGACCUAUUUUCUCUCGACAAUAUCACGCACGAUUACAACGGUUGUAAUUACCUCCGAUCGGUUUUCCACUCACGCCAUACAUACAUCUCGCGAUUUAUUCUCGCAAUUCGCUAGUUAGCGUGGUUGCAAAUACACCAAAUAUCCACAGUUAUCCAUCUUUUUCGUUUCGCACUCGCAAGCGAUCGCGUUUCCGUAUAUAUAAAAACAUCUGCUUUCUUGCCAAAUCGCAUUUUGCAUCUCGUUGUGUCAAAUACGUAAGAUGAUAAAAGAUAUAUUAUAUUACAUAGCCAAGGUAGAAUUCCGCCGAAAAUAAAAUGGUGCAUUUUCCACCGGUUAAUCAGGUCGGGAAAUAUUAUACGCCAAGAGAUUAAGGGAGUGUUCUGAAUUAGAAUCUUCCAAAACAGCGUUUUCUUGCGAUUUUUCUUAGAAGGGAGAGAAAGAAAUGAAGUUGCUGAAUUUUGAGCUAUGGUUUUAUAUAUAUUUAACGAAUGCAAAAAAAUUUUUUUUUUAAAUAAAAAAAAAGAAAUUAUCGCUGCAGUCUUCGAUCGGUGGGAAGGAUCCACCUCGUAAUUCUUGACUGAAAUAAAAGACCGAAAAAGGAUUAAAUUAAUAUAUAUUUUUCUUCUGGGUGAACUAAAAAAGUUGGUCAAAAAGUUUAUUUAAAUAAUUGUCAUAGCACCUUAAAGUUUUUCUUUUUUUAAAAACACUUUUUUUUAAACCCGCCAAGAUUUUUAAUUUCACAUUUUUUCUGCCUUUUUUUAGUUCACCCAGAAAAAAAUAUGUAACAAUUUAAUCCUUUUUCGGUCUUUUCUUUCAUUCAAGAAUUACGAGGUGAAUCCUUCCCGCCGAUCGAAGAUUGCAACGACAAGACGCCCAUGAAAUAGACGUAGAAAUCUGUUGUAAUUUCUUUUUUAUUUAAAAAAAAACUUUUUACAUUCGUUAAAUAUAUAUAAAACCAUACCUGAAAAUUCAAUAACUUCAUUUCUUUCUUUCCCUUCUAAACAAAAUCGCAAGAAAACGCUGUUUUAGAAGAUUCUAAAAUUCAGGACAGCCCCUUAACGUUUUCCAAGGGACGGAAGAACGAGCAACGGUCUAAACGCAUCAUUGCAGAACGACAAGAGGAAAUCCCUGGUACGUCAGCGCGACGUACCGUCGGUCGCUUCCUGUUGAUCCAAGCGGUCAGAGCACGGUGCCAAGUAGCCCCGCGUGAAAUCGUUGACCGCCUUUUCUCGUCCGCGAUAUCGCUCUGCCAAACGCGUGACUAAUCGCCGACGAAAGUCUCGUCGUCUGUUCCUCGGACGCGUUUCUCGAUUCCCUUCGCCGCUGUGCCACUACUACACCGCUAACUUUGACAUUUUACUGCGCGAUCGAGGCAACCGAGUCACCAGCGAUUGCAUGAAUUAUUAAUGCGGCAAGAAGAACGCGAUGCGCGAAAGUGCGCUAUGAUUUACGAGGAGCCACGUGGGAUUUUGCGAGUAUUCGUACGGGACAGGGGGAUGACGAAGGGGAGACGUUGGAAAAUGAAACGAGGCGAUCGAGGUUUGUGGAAAAAGAAUCGGAUUAAGUUGAUUUUAAACGCGGCUCGUAGAACGAUGGAUCGGUAGAAGGAGGAUUUUAAGUUAUUUUGGAAGCGACGCUUGAGAAAAAUUGAGGAAAAACGAAUAUACCGGGAGUUUAUCGCAGGAAAAAUUGAAUAGAUGGGACACGCGAUUGGAUUGGGUUUCGGAUAAUGGAAUGGAAAUAUUGUUUUUGAAAAAAUAGCGAGAGAACGGUCGAGCGUAAUAUGUCUGGUGGAGCAUAAAUUGGUAAAAAUUCUCUCGUUUAUUCGUUCAGCUAAAAUUCUCUGGUCUAACCGAUUCGCGCUAUUUACCACGUUCAAGCGUAAACAAACGGAUCUACACUACGUACGGUCGUGCAAUCAGCAAGUAAUUAACCCAUCAACGUCCACGGUAAAUCAAUGCAAAGUAAGCAAACAGGCUGACGAUGGAAUCAAAGGCGAGCUGCCAAUAGAGUACAAAAGAGCCAAGAACAAUUCCAAAAAAUCAGCGCCGAUUCCCUGACAAACUACCAACGUUACACUCGCAUCGAACGAAAACAUACACAGAGAGAAGCCGCGCAAAAUCCAACGUGAGAAUAAACGAGAAAGGGAACGGUGAAAAAGAGCGCCGAUCGAUUUUGGGGUAAAGGCAAGACUAAUAAAAGAAGGAAAAGCAUGGAACGCGCGAAAAUCGACUUCGAGGCACAGGUAGAACGAGUACAAAAAAAGGCAAAGGCGUACGUUCGGAGUAAAGACAAGCGAAGAAAGAAAAAAGAAACGGAGAAACGAGCGAAAGUCGACUUUGAAGCAAACGCAAAAUCGAUAAAAGGAAAGGAAAACAGUGAAAGAAGAAGCGAAGAAAAGAUCGGACGCCGUCUUUGAAGCAAACGUGAAAUCGAUAAAAGAAAGAAGCGCAAGGUAACGUCGAGCGAAAAACAAGGCCAGUAAAAAAGCAAAGGCGACAAAAGAGGAAAAAGAAUUUGGAAGCAAAGGCUGUAGGUAGAAAAGGCAAAGUCGAGGGGAAGGUUACUCGAAGAUCUAAACGUGGAGAUCUCUCUCUAUUCGCGGUCUCUAUCCGCAACGUCUCUGGUUGGCACAGACCGUAGUCUGUUUUCUUUGGAACCCGAGCAAGCGAUCCGGUUCGGUUGGAAACGCGAUUCGCGCUUUUCGCGGCUAAGAUCUUCGGGCCGCAGGUGGUCAGGCUGCUAGCGGCGAGGCGGUGCACGUGGUCGCUGCAUGUGCACACUGUGCACAACCAGCCGUUGCGCUGGGUGGAAUUAGAUUCGCGUAAGCUCGAUUUCUCUGCGGACCUAGAACCAUAUCGCGAUAAGAAUGGUCCACAGGGAGAUAUCGGACUUUGAACUAGUAGCAAGGUAAUCUGUUUGAGUUAGCGUUUAAACGUGUACCGGCUGCAGGUUUGCAGACGGUUUAAAUUGUGAAAUUCGUGGAAUUGGUUACGAAUAUGAUAUUUUACGUGAUUGGUGGCGGAAAUUGGAGAAACAAGAAUCACAUCUGACGCGUAAACGGCGACGUUGAAAAUUUGAAAAUUGCCCGUUUCGUUUCGUAGUAUGUCGCGGGAUUAUUAGUUUCUUAGACGCGAUGAGAUUGCUUUUCGCGAGAAUUCCAAAACUCUCGAAUGCUCGAAUCUCUAAAUUCCUCGAUUCUCCAGUUUCCAGACUCUUAAACGUCGAAACGUUCUCGAGUCCGCGGUCCUUCAAAUUUCCAAAUUUUAAAUUACCGAAACUUCUAAACUCUCAAAUAAAUAGCUAAAUUCCUCGUAGUUUCAUUAUAUCCGUUUACGUGGCCGCGUUCGAGAUCUUUCAAGCGUCGUUAAUAUAUUUAUAUCUUUAUGCCGCUAGACAACGUAUACACGGCGAUUCUGUAAAAUUAUUGCACGCACGCGUACUACAUUGUGGACACGACGAUCUUUGUUUCGUGUUGCACGCAAAUAUCCACGACGCUUGCCAAAUUUCGCGUACGCCCCUGCCAGAUCGAAUAAAACACCGUGUAUCAACAUACCGCGGCCAGAAGAUAUAAAAGCUCGUUUUUCACCUCGCUGAUCGAUAAAAUUAUAGGUAUGCUGCGAACGGUGGUUAUUCCAAGGAAAUGUUUAAAUUACUCUUUAACGUUGCUUUCGUUGCGCUUGAAAAUAAAACGCAACGUCUAUUGUAUUUAAAUAUCUUCAUGGUGAUUAAGAUUAAGGUACGCUCGAAGACUCUAUACCCUGCUAUGACGUAAAUCGUAAGCCUGAUAGAUAUUCAUUAUUCUCUUUGAUCAUCUUCCACCUGUUUCUUUGAAUAUCCGUAGAUUCCUGGCAAUCGAUCAAUUAGUCCUUGCGUCAACUUUCCGACUAACAAUGUAUGCGCGAGUAUAAGUUGUAUUAUUUAAAGAACGUUUCGCUAAUUGCGACACGCGAACGUACACGACUCGGCAAUUUUAAUAUUCCAUGAUUUUUAACACUACGUUUACGGGCGUGCCUUAUAUACCUAUUUCUACGAGCACCCGUUAUAAUCGACGGGCAAACGAAAAUACGCCUUUUCUUUAAAAAAUCGAUUUAUCCAAAUUAAGUCCGAAUCGAGCAAUAUUAGGCUUCACGUUUAAAUAAAUUCUUAAUAAGUAAAAAGACUUGUUUUAAAAAUUCUCACGCAAAUGAUAUUAAUAAUAUUAACUGCAUAGGGUAAUCAUAUUUAUCGAGCAUAUUUUUUACAAAUAUACACUGAAUUUUUUAAUGAAAUCAGCUAGCUUGUCAAUUCGACGGGUUUCGUAGAGACAGGUAUACUACAUACAGAUUUCAAAAAUUAGACAGCCUAGGAAAAGAAGGAAGAAGUAUGUAUAAAUUCUUCGGAUGAAAUAAUUAAUUUACGACGCAAAGUGGUUAAAAUUAAUGCUAUGGUUUUUGCGAUAUUUCAUUUCGAAGUUUGAAAUCCGUCAAAUUGACGGGUCUCGUAAACCUAAUGUUAAUAUCGAAGCCUCUCUGUUCGUUUCUCUGAAAAAUUACGAACCACAAGUCUCCUGUUUUAUUCCAAAUUCUAAUUUCUCAAUUUCCCAAAUUUCCAUCUCUAUGUCAUCUAGUCAGUGUCCACCUUGCUGAAACAAAAUUGAUCCUUGAAAGGAACAAUGCGCCAUCCUUCUAUGCAAAACAGACUUUACCUUCCUCAAUUUCUCCUUCGACGAUGCCAAAAUUAUCGAACAAUGGAAUUACAUAAAUCGGCCAUAAAUCUUCAUGACACGCGCGUUGGUUGGCGUGGUUUGAUCGUUAUGUAAAGUAAGUAGACGCUUGGACUACGAAGAGGAGCUCGAGUCAAAAAGUGCACGCUCGGGCGAGAUCGUUGAUCAUCGAGGAUUCGUCAAGGAUCCAUGAUAAGUUGAUCGCGCAAGGCAAAGAAGAUCCAAAGAAGGUUGGCUGACCGUGAGGCGCGACAACGUUCCGAAACGCGGGAAUUUCAACGUCUCCGUCGUGGUUCAGUCGCGUUUCCAACACGUCGCAGGACCUUCGAACGCCCACGCGUUCUCACGCCCACCUACGCCGCUCUUGCCUUUUUAUUCCCAGCCCUGGCACUAUUAAUAGGAUCAGCCGUUUCUCCGUUUGAAACUUUGUUUCGUUUCGCUUCACGCUCAAAAGGGAAAAAGAAAUUCGCUGAGUUUCCAUGCGACGGAUCGUCUGUUGUCCUGGAGGACUGUUCUCAUCGACCAGGCAGCUGAGAUUAAUUUCCGAACGAAGAAAUAUUUCCAGCGAAAAGGAUAAAAGCUACGAGCAAUGACAAGUUGCAUCGAGCGAUAUAGCGAGAAAUAUACGAGUCCAUUAACGUAAUAACAUCGACCUAAAUCGAGAUGGUAAUGUCAAGUGUCUCGCUCUGUAUAUUUACACGCAUUCGUACGAGUUUGAACAAUUUUUAGCGUGUUCGACGAUCGAAAGAUUCGAGAUCGAAGUUUGAAGAAAGACACAAUGGAAUGGAGCGGCGGAUUACGAUUGUGGUUGAAAAUUAAAAGCGAAUUAAAAUUGAAAAUUAAAGAGAACAAGCAGAUUGGUUGAUCGUGAAGCUACUCUUCUCACGAAGGCAACGUUCAAUCUCGUGUAUCGAUUAGAAGCGGGUAAAAAGCGUCGAAUCUUGACAUUCUUUUAAUUAUGCGAGUACUUUGAGAAUUUCAACAAAUUCAAAUAAAAUCUACGUAUACGAAUUUAUUCCUGGAAAGAGCGAAAAGUUUCUCGGAAAAAUAAUCAUCGAAAGGAACACUGUACAUAUCGUUUACCUACUUUUCGAACACUUCAACAUUUUUAUACGCUGGUAUUUAUCGAAUCACUUGGCAAAAGGAAAACAAUUAAAAAGAGAGAGAACACGCAAGAAACGUUGGUCGGAUAUUUUUCAUCGACUUUCCAAACUUUCAACUGAAUUAUCAUCGUACACGGGGUGAGACCGACGUGAUAUUUGGUAACAAUUUGAAUUAUAUCCGUAUAAUUUACAGGGUGUAACAUACGUAUUCCGCGUGGCCGGUGCGAGCAUGAAAUGUACACAUGGAUGAAAUUGCUUUCACGUAGGAUACGUCAGGGCUUAUCCCAUUUGGACAGUUGCCAAUGAACCAAUAGGCCAACUUGUAGAAUGCGCCGAAAAUAACGGAGCCUAGCUACGAAAAAUUUCAACGUACAAGAGCUGUCAAUUAAAUGACAGCCGACUAGGGUCCCCUAGUCGGACCAACCGUACUCUUCAACCCUUCGCUCUUCGAUACAAAGUUUCGUUUCUCAUGGCCAGAAAUCUUCUAAAUAUCGCGAAUAUUUACGCGAUCGUAGGAGAUUUAAAAACAAAAAAAUACGUAUAACACGCAGACGAUCUUUUCGAUACGAGAAUAUUUUUCCUCUUCCCUUGAUAUUUCUUCUACACUUUCUUCGUCGAAUCGCCUCUUCUAAGAAUUCCACCCAUAAAAUUCAGCUCCUCUUAUUUUCUCUUCUACGAGAAGAGAGCGUAAUAUAAAAGCGAAGCAUCGGCUUCGUACUUUUCUAAAUUGACUUGGUUUUUUUCAAACUUCCGAUAUACACGAAGACGAUGAAGUUGGUGUUCUGGGAUUUCGGCAAAUGGGACGUCAGGCUGUUUUCCUCGGCAGUAGAUGUAAAUGUUUAUCGGUCGAUCGCCAAUAAAAACAACGGCACCGUGGCGAGCUUUCAGCAACUUCCUGCUGCCCACCAUCCCAGUUGUACGUCGAAAGACAAACUGGUUCUAACGUUAUCGAGGAUUAGAGGCUCGCUCGUCUACUAUCCGUUUCCGCUUUAUCUUCUUAAAAUCCUCUUUAAUUUGCAACAGAAGUCGUUUCUAUUUCGAACGUUUCCGUUCCACGUUCGUCUUUACCAACGUAACCCAUCGCUUUUCCGUUUCAAAAGUUUACGCACGCGUUACCCGCAUUACGCGUGUACGAUAAACGGACAGAUCACGUAAGAAUCGGUUUGCAGCGCAAACAGCCAGCGUUUCUCGUUUCUGCGACCGAUUUAUCAGCCUCCUCUGGUCCGGAUGAAAGAGACAUCGGCCGAUAACGAUUCGCGAGGCCUGGAUACCGAGAGGAAUUCGAACGAAGCGGCAGGAAAAGGACGGAUAAAAGGAAGGGAAGUGACGAAAAUGAGAUAAGAAUGGAACGUUCGGCGGCGCCAAGUGAAUCACGGCUCGCGAAAUAAAUCUAAAAGCGUGCAAGUUCGCCGGAUCACGGCGACAACGAAAAUAUUGCCGGAUCAAUUCGUUCUCUCUUCGCAGACGUGUUUUCGAAACACGCGUGAUUUAUGCGACAGUUUUAUUUAUGCCACCUCUUCCUGGAUACGUGAUUUAGACUGUUUCUCCGUGAUUAGAUCGAAAGUUUUUCAAAUUGGCAAAAUAUAGUCGCAUGGUAUAAACAGAUUGAACAAGAAGUUUCUUUCUCACCAAUGGCACAGUUAUUUCGGUAGAAUUGGAGUUUCCUAACGUUGUUAAGACUUUGCUCCGCUCCGCUUUCUUUCUUUUCAACGCGUAUACCUCUGUUUUUAUCCGUUUCGCAGAAUUUCCUCGCAUCUCUGCUACUAUUUUACUCAACUUGUGUAUAUUAUUAUCCUCGAAGAUUGAGACUGAAAAUAGAAAGGCGAUUUUUCCAGAAAUACCAACAUCAAAUUUACAAAAGGUACAAAAGUAGAAACACAUCUAUCGGUAAUUUGAAGCUUACGCGUAUCGUCGCCGAUACACGUGAGACGAUAAAAACUUUCGCUUUCUAAAUUUCUAAAAUUCUCCCUUUAGCCUCUGAAAAGAACAAGAAAAUAUUUUGUACCCCAUUUUACCGAACUACAUGACCAAAUGGGAAGAAGGGAAGACACACCCGUUGCGACUUGCCAGCUUAAUUUCCAUUCGAUUUCCAUUUACAACCGGUGUUCCAGCGAGGGUGACACGCUCGUACAAGCAGAGCGAGCUUAAAUCGAGCUUACCGGCACAACGUCGUCCGCUUCGCGCCUUUUACCACGCUCGUGUACGUGCUCGUGUUUCGGAGGGGGUGAAAGUCCAGACGGCGCCUGCAAGACUAGCCUCCCUUCGUUCGCAGUCUGACAACCACCUUUCGGUUAAUCCGCUGACAUACGAGACCUGUUUUUUAUCCCUUUCGGGUUUCUCCACGCUUCGAAGAGUUUGUCGCGCCGGGACAAGAUAAGAAAGGAACAAAAAAAGAAAAAAGAGAGCGGAAGUAUCGUACGGGAGGAAAUUAAGUCGGCGCUGGAAGGUCUUCGUUUUUAAUGAAAAUCGAGCAAUUUUAAUUUUCGAGAUGUUUGAUCAGGAAGAUUUGUUGAUCGAUAUCUUGGGGGCACGCGAAGACAUUUCAUUUUAGCAUUAGGUUGUCCGGAAAGUUUCUUCCGUUUUACGAGGAAAUAAUAGACGCACAGGGUUGUUUGUUUUAUAUUAUUUUGUUCCGUCCAUUUGUCCAGUUUGUUCUGUUGAGAUAAACACAUUUCGACAUUUCACAGACUCGCCUUCACGUUUGUACGAAGGUGCACUGUUGUGAAAAACACGUUUGCGAAAGGUCACUUUCCGGGCAAUCUAAUAUCUCGUUGCUUUCGUUAUUCGUUUCUUUAUCACAUUCGUUAUUGUUUAUUACUUUUUAUUCGACGACGAAGACAGCAAAAAUGUUUUAGAUACGGAGAUUAUCGACGAUAAUUAUUUAAUGACAGAGACAGCAGUCAAUGAUACAUAUCAAAUAUAGAGCUGUCGCAAUUAAAUCGGAAUUUUUCUCGAAGCAAAGUUACAUCUACUUUUAUCUACAUUGUGAAUUUUUGAAUUUCCAAGCGAAAAUUGAACGAAAUUGUGAACAUCGUGCGUGCGAAUAUAUUUCGUAAUGGUGAAACGAAUGUAAAAUUUACAAAGUGAAGUCUACAAAGAACUUCUCUUCUUAAAAGAAUUUUUCUCAUUUUCCAUGGACACUUGAAAAUCGUAGAAUAGAAAACGUAAGAGAACCGAAAUCGCCCACCUCGAUCGUCAACCAUCUCGACACCCUUUCGCAAACUCAUUCCCUCCCACAAAAACCUACAAAAACAAUCUCCACCACUUUCUACCCCUGAAACUCCUGUUUCCAAACACACACGCCCUUUCUUCCGUCCCUAUCGGACACGCUAAUUUAUCGUCGACACACUUGGAAUAAAAGUGAUAUCGUCGCGUGCGAUGGCGAGGGUUGAAAUUUUCAUCGUCGUUCACGCUGUCGAGCCGAUUCUUUCGUUGACCCCCCGCAGGCACCAUAGGGCGAACUAAAGGGGAGGCCACGGAAUAAAUGUCCCCCCUCCAUCUGCCGAAAUAAAGCCGCGUAUCCAUCGACGUUUGCUAACGUCCGUUAAGGUUCGCCAAUGUGAAUUUACUUCGGUGGAGAUGCAUUUGUGUAUAUGCAUUAGGUUGUCCGGAAAGUUUCUUUCGUUCGAUAAGGUGAUAAUAGAUGAACAACAAUUUCUGUUUUGUAUUAUUUUAUUGAAUUCGGUAUGAUCCAUUUCGUUCUAUUUCUAUUAUUACGUUCCUGCAUAGUUCAAUAAACUAAUAUAAAAUAAAAAAAACAUUGUGCGUCUGUUAUAAAACGAAAGAAACUUUUCCGACAACCUAAUACGUACACGGAUAGCAAACAAUCGUAAACGAUCGAGAGUAUUUGAGAAAGUUUGGAAUUAUGUUGGUAUAAAAAGAAAAAGAAAAAAUUGGCAAAUAUCUUCUUCUUUACAAAUAUCUUCUUUCGCGGUUUGGGGAAUAUUAAAUAGAAAAGGAGCGUUUCUCGAGGAACGUUUAAUCUUCUCGCGAACCUAAGUGAAUUAUUGCACUGCAACGUUGAUAAUUUACACCAACGUAUAGUAAAGUCUUUAGAUUAGAAGAAUGCGAUAAUCGGAAGAAAGGGAAUAUCUCGUGAAACGCUCGUGAUCCGACGAGCUGCUCAAUUGCAUCGAAUCGCGAUAUCAUCAAGUUGCAAUGAAUUGUAUCGAAUUGCAAUAUUGCUAAGUUGCACCGGAUUGCACCUAAUUGCGCUCAAUUGCAACUAAUCGCACGAAAUCGCACCGAGUCGCGCCAAAUUGCACCCAAUUGCGCUGAAUCGUCCUGACUCGCAAUAUGUAGUUCACGCAUCGUUAUCUACGAAAAUUAAAAAAAAGUGGUAUGACAUCACGGGAUAAUUGCACAAUGUCAUUGUACCAAACGUAAUCGAAUAUCUCGGGAAACACGAAUGAUAGGAAAAAAUGUUUCGUAGAAAAAUUUCCACGAUGUACUCUUCUCUGUUAAAACGCUCUGAAUUGUCGCUCUGUUCGGUUCGUACGAUAAAUUUUACUAUCAAAUAUAUGUAAAGUUCGAUUCUUUACCUUAUUUGUGAAACGUUCGAACUGCGACGCGAGACUGUCACCGGUGAUCUGUCAAUUUCGUGAUUUCUUGUGUCUCCGACGUGACACAAUCGUUGUAACGUAACGAGGAAACGCGAUAUUUGGAAACAGCGCGCGUAAAAUCAUUCUUCUAAAGCCUUGUCGUUUCUCAUUGCAUGUAGAGUAAUCGUCUUUCUCCAUCUUAUUUUAUUCUACGUAAAAAAUGCGAUUUUCAUAAAUAUCGCGAUUCGAUAAACGAAAGAAAAUUUCAAUUCUGAAUAUCUCGAAACACAAUUUUGCCAUGUACGCGGUAUUCCAAACUCGUCGAUUCGGUGAUAUUACCAUUCGGUACAUUUGAUCCAAUUCCUUCGUAUCGGCGUUCGACGCAAUUCGCUACUAUCGCGAUUCGCUUCGAUUCGGUGCUAUCGGCUAUUGUGAUUUAACGCGAUCUCACUGCACGAUACUCGUAUGGCGCGAUUGAAAAAUUGCUUUGAAAAAGAUUCCAAAAUAUAACGUGGUACCGAAAAAUAACCGAACCGAAGAGAUAACAGAAGAAAGAACUUUUGCGAAUGAGGAAGACAGAAAUUUCGAACCGCCGACGCUCGUCGAAUAUCUCGCAAACGCUCGCCGAUAUUAGCACGCAUUUGUUGAACACACGGCUUAAGGAUUCGUAAUCUCCUGGGUUCGAAAUCGCAAGGAGAACGCGGCGGAACCCUCGAAACUUUAUCGAUCUUUCAAUCACUGCGCGACAAAGGCGGAGAGAGCACGGAAAUCGAGCGACCCCAACGCAUCGCGGUGAACCCCCUUGGUUGCUCGCCCCUUUUGUUUUCAAACGAGUCGCCUCUUCAACGAGAAUUUUUGCGGAGACAGUGACGAUUCCUCGGCAACUUUAGGUAUCUUUGUGUACUUGGACAAAGUUAUUGCUUUCCUCUUUAGGGGAACCUGGGGAGAUGUUUUGGUGGUUGAAAGUGGAGGAGCGAGGAUUUCCGAUUGAAUAGUCGUUCGAUCGAGUAAAAUUGGAUCGAUAACGAGCACGUGAUUAAGCUUCGCAUUAGGCUGCGUUUCUUUUGAAAGAUAAAUAAUUUAAUGGUAAUAAUAUUAGGUUGCCCGAAAAGUUUCUUUCUGUUUUAACAAUUUCUGUUUUAUAUUAUUUUAUUGAAUCAGCUAUGAUCCAUUUCGUUCUCUUUCUAUUAUCAUGUUCGUGCAUAAUUUAAUAAACUAACAUUGCGCGUUUAUUAUUUCUUUUUAAAACGAAACUAAAGCAAUUUACCAUCUUCGUUUCUCUUCGUUCGAUUAAAAAGCAACAGUCGGUUAUUUCGUACCAUCGUACAGUACAAUUGUACUUGAAAGAAUCAAAGCAGGGGAAACUUGAAAUAUUUCGACACGCGAUCUUGAAAAACCAGGAAGAUAGACGCUAGAGAGGACGUUUUAAUUGAGAAGAUGAGAAUACGCCGAGAGCGAAGUUCAAAGACCCGAGAAAGCUGCGAGAAUAAUCCCGCGAGAUGUUACCCGACUAUCAGCAGAGUGCGAUCGAAGCGGCGUUGACGAAAAAGUAAAAUAAAGACGAAAGAACUGCGAAAUUAUAUCGCUGACGAUCCCUGAACACCGAUAAGGCGAGAGAAACGGGGGAGGCAGCGACGCGAUCCGCUCCUGAAUUUACGAGGCUCCGCGGGUGCCGAGGGUGCAGGGGCGUACAGACGUGGCGCCGGGCGUCCCGACGCCUAGACUGGCAGGGGCCGCACGCACGUUGACCGUGAAACGCGCGCGACAUCGUGUUAAACUCUGCUCCUCCACAGCUUUGCUUAUCGAUGUUUCCUUCUUCCCAUUCGACUAGUUUUCUGCAUUUCUCCGGUUAGUAGCUUACAAGUUGCGAUUUACAAGAGACGUUACGAAGAAUAAUAUUCUAGUGGAUUUAUUUGUUCAUUGUAAAAGUCACUGGCAAUAGAAGAUAUAGGAACGAUGCGCGAGAAAAAAGUCAAGUGGCAAGAAUUAUCAACCAAUAAGAUAAGAAGAACGAGAGGAGCAAGAUGAGAGAUCGCUGGAGUUUAAGUAAGCGAGCUACAGAAGAAAGACGAGUGGAAGUACGUGCACUAUUGGCGUGUAGUAUCAUACGGUUGAAGCAGCUAAAAUAACCAUACAAUGUACGAUGAUGCUCAACUCGCAGUAGUUCCGGAUGACGUAGCUACCAGGACGGUUUGUGGAACGACACCGAACCGGUGUUCGGUUCGAGAUCGGGAACACCGUAACUGGAUACCGUUCAAAUAUUAUCGAAAACAUGGGAUCUCCGUUGGAACGUUGUUUAUCCAUUCGACAAGUACGUGAGUCACGUAUCUAUGCGACAAUCCGAAUGGCCUGGCAUACCAGCAGCUUAAAGCCGCGCAAGGUGGAACAGGGUGGAAAAACAUGGUUGGCCACGGUGAUGAGGAAAAGGGGCAGAGGGUGAAACUCGAGCACGAGUAGCACGACCCAGAAAAUGAGCGCAACAGGUGGUGGCAGGUAUGCGGCUGCCGGGGGAUGACAAACCGGUGACUCAUGGGGUUACACCGGGAAUGUUGAUCGUUUCUCCUGGAUUCCUGCCCUCUUGAACCGCUCUUUCAGCUUUCUACCCCGCUACGUCUUUACCUGCUGACUCACAAUCCGCUCGCACGACUCUUCCUACAUUCUUACACCUGAGGAAACACGGGACGAUUCUUUGCCCGGGACAGUCUGUUCAAUGGACACUAAUGACCCCUGUGGGGUUUCGGUUUAUUCCUUCGACGUCUCGUAGCUGUAUUUGUUCCUUAGGAACAUAGCUCGACGUUAUAAUUAUCUUUGGAAAUUAGAAAAUUACCUGCGACGCGAUAUAUCUUUGUUACUCUGACGAAUUCGUCAAAGGGAAUUUAAGCGUAGUGCCACGUAUUUAGGGGAAUUAGUUGUCGAAAUGAAGUUUAACGAUUCGGUCGAGCAUCGAGUUGCGCGAGAAAAGAUGUUAAUUAUUUUGAAAAAAAAUUCUUAAGUUUCAAAGUCUAUUGGGCGCAUCUCGUAGACUUUAACAGCGGAUUUCUAGAUAACUGUAAUGGUUUUUGAAGAAUCACAAGAAUACUUGGGGACGUCAUUCUAAAGGUCGCUGGUUAUCGCCAAGAAGAGAAAGAAAAAAUAGAAUUCUUUUUAUCAAUCAAUAGCAAUUGUUCCCGGACCAAUGGUAUACCGAUCGAUCACUAGUCCGCUACGAAAAAAGUAUCGUCUUCACGUGUACAAACAUCGCAAUCUUAUCUCCUAGUGAACGGUUCAGUUGUACUGCAAUUACAAUAACUGCAAUUAUCUGUUGGAUCUACGGUUCGAAUAACACGUUCGAUAAAAAUAGACGAUACGCAGGAAUUCUGUUUUUCUCGAACAUCUUCGGAAGCAGAAAUAUCGACGAAUUUCGAUUUCAGUGAAAAUAUUAUACGCAACGCGUACGCAAAAAAGUUUUAUCGAUAGAGCUGGUAUUCGAUCGAUAUUAAUAAAAAUUUCAGACUCAGCCACCUGUUUUAUCGACCGAUGUGUUUAAUAUCUAGUAAUCGCACUGUGAAAUUAAAAUUGGAACACGAAACAACGAGGGUUUAUGUUGAUAAUUAAGUAACAGAAGCUUUAAAUGCCAUUACCACUGGCCUAAUCGCAUCGACCGGGAGGAAUGUCGGUCCUAUCGGUUUCUUAUGCUCUUCGUAUCAAUAACUUGGCCUGUACUGUUACACCAUUAAAUAACGAUAGCCCGUAAGGUUGAUAGUCGUAUCAGACGCGUCACUGGCGUAUGGAGACAGACGAGAAUUAUCGUCCCCUCCGGAUAACAUUUCGCGAAACGAUCAAACAGGAAAUUCUGGAUCGAACGUAGCAAGCUAAAGUUUUACUAUAUUUCGGUCGAUAAUAGAUUCGCUAUUAACCAUACGAUAAAUCAAACUCGGAUUUCAAUAGGAUUGUGGAUCGCCGCGAACUAGGUCUACGUAAAGUUAGGGAUACUUAUGUUUACAAUGAAAGCAAACUAACCUCCGAAUAUGUACAGAGUAGCCUGUACCUGGACGAAAUCAAGGCUAGACUUGGAUUAUGCUGGUUGAGGUCAGGGCUAAGCAUACUUAAACUAGGUCUUUCGUUGAAUCUUUCAGUAACGAAGCGCAACAGAAUCGAUUGUUUUCUCAAAAAACACUACCAUCCGUCUUAAUUUAAAUCUAACAAUUUCGUAAUCCAUAAAUCUUGCAAACGAUAAACCAUCUAUUUUUGAAAAUCUAGUUGGGUAACCAUAAAAUUACGAAAUUGAUUCUUCUUCUUCUUCUUUUUUUUUUUUAUACCAUCCAAGACCAGGCACGGUGAAGCGAGAGAAACGAUCGAUUUAAUUCGUUUCUCAGAAAAUAAAACAAAAAAAAAGAAGAAGAAAAGAGAAGAAAAAGAUAAAACAACAAAAACAACGGACGAAGCAAAACUAUUUAUUUUUACUCGUCGCUGAAUCCUCCAGUUUCUUGCUGUCGCUCCGCUCCCACCUCUCUCGUAAACUUGUUCCUUUUCCCUUCUGCUGUUCCGCUUUUUCGUUUUCUCGCUGUUUGCUCCUUUUGUUCAGGCUCUUUUUCUCCGGCCAUAGCGAAAAGAAAUGGAUCUGCGGAGCGUGGCGUUUGGUGGGCGGAUCGAUGACCUUGAAUCUGGCUGGAGGCACCAUGAGUCACGCUGCGGAUUUCGUGUUUCCAGGAAAAUUUUCCUGCUAACGCGACAAUCGAUGCGAAGAGAGAGGAAGAGCGAGAGAAAGAGAUGAGCUUCCUGUACGUAAAGGAACCACUAGCCGCUCGUAAUUUAUCUGAGUCAGCCGGUAGUGCACGCGCGUGUAAUCGUCGAUGGGCUUCGAAGAGUUGGCUUGAAUUUUUUAUUCUGCUUAAUUCGUUUCAUGGACAAGCCGUGGGCGAGUGAAGCGACGAUUUUUUAUACAGGCGACUGAAACACACGGAUCAGAGGAUUUGAACGAAGAGAUACUUCGAAGAGGUUCAGCAGUUUUGACCAUCGAUGAACUUUCCAACGUUUGCCAACGGUUCGUUUUUUUCCUCGUCUCACGAAUCGUUGCAUCGCGAAGCAAUAAAACAACAAUUCUUCGACAGAGAAGUCGGACGAAUCACGACGACACGUAUAUAACUGUAAAGAAUUUCACGAACGUUGCAGCAUGUUCGUACACGUUCUCUGGUUACGUCGAUAAGUUAGAAAAAUGAAACAUUUCUGUAAAGCAGAGGGGUGCGCUGCCUGAAACGUCUCAACCUGAUACUCUUCCGUAUCAGCGUACUAUAUACCAGGUCGUAUUUCUCAUCUUUAAUAUUUCCAUACUCCUCGCUUUCUUCCUUGAUGAAAUUUUAUAAUUAUAAUUUCUCGAUUAAAUUGAAUAAACGAUAGAUUUUUAAAUAAAGCUACUGCGAAGCUGAAGCAAA